rnacentral:rRNA from 1 species
UACGUAGGGGGCUAGCGUUGUCCGGAAUCAUUGGGCGUAAAGAGCGUGUAGGCGGCCCGGUAAGUCCGCUGUGAAAGUCGGGGGCUCAACCCUCGAAUGCCGGUGGAUACGGGCGGGCUAGAGUUCGGUAGGGGAGACUGGAAUUCCUGGGUGUAGCGGUGAAAUGCGCAGGAAUAUCAGGAGGAACACCGGUGGCGAAGGCGGGUCUCUGGGCCGAUACUGACGCUGAGGAGCGAAAGCGUGGGGAGCGAACAGG